AACGUAGGAGACGAACGUUAUCCGGAGUUACUGGGCGUAAAGGGCGUGUAGGCGGUUUGUUAAGUCUGGCGUGAAAGCUCUCGGCUAAACCGGGAGAGGUCGUUGGAUACUGGCGAACUAGAGGAUGGUAGAGGCGUGUGGAAUUCCGGGUGUAGUGGUGAAAUGCGUAGAUAUCGGGAGGAAUACCAGUGGCGAAGGCGGCUGCCUGGCCUGUUCUUGACGCUGAGGCGCGAAAGCUGGGGGAGCAAACGGG
rnacentral:rRNA from 1 species